CGGCGAUGUCCGAAUGGGGAAACCCAGUGCAAUUCGUUGCACUAUCGUUAACUGAAUACAUAGGUUAACGAGGCGAACCGGGGGAACUGAAACAUCUAAGUACCCCGAGGAAAAGAAAUCAACCGAGAUUCCCCCAGUAGCGGCGAGCGAACGGGGAGCAGCCCAGAGUCUGAAUCAGCUUGUGUGUUAGUGGAACGGUCUGGAAAGUCCGACGGUACAGGGUGAUAGUCCCGUACACCAAAAUGCACAGGCUGUGAACUCGAAGAGUAGGGCGGGACACGUGGUAUCCUGUCUGAAUAUGGGGGGACCAUCCUCCAAGGCUAAAUACUCCUGACUGACCGAUAGUGAACCAGUACCGUGAGGGAAAGGCGAAAAGAACCCCGGCGAGGGGAGUGAAAAAGAACCUGAAACCGUGUACGUACAAGCAGUGGGAGCACCUUCGGGUGUGACUGCGUACCUUUUGUAUAAUGGGUCAGCGACUUAUAUUCUGUAGCAAGGUUAACCGUAUAGGGGAGCCGCAGGGAAACCGAGUCUUAACUGGGCGUUAAGUUGCAGGGUAUAGACCCGAAACCCGGUGAUCUAGCCAUGGGCAGGUUGAAGGUUGGGUAACACUAACUGGAGGACCGAACCGACUAAUGUUGAAAAAUUAGCGGAUGACUUGUGGCUGGGGGUGAAAGGCCAAUCAAACCGGGAGAUAGCUGGUUCUCCCCGAAAGCUAUUUAGGUAGCGCCUCGUGA
rnacentral:rRNA from 1 species